rnacentral:rRNA from 1 species
AUUGAACGCUGGCGGCAUGCCUUACACAUGCAAGUCGAACGGUAACAGGUCUUCGGAUGCUGACGAGUGGCGAACGGGUGAGUAAUACAUCGGAACGUGCCCGAUCGUGGGGGAUAACGGAGCGAAAGCUUUGCUAAUACCGCAUACGAUCUACGGAUGAAAGCAGGGGACCGCAAGGCCUUGCGCGGACGGAGCGGCCGAUGGCAGAUUAGGUAGUUGGUGGGAUAAAAGCUUACCAAGCCGACGAUCUGUAGCUGGUCUGAGAGGACGACCAGCCACACUGGGACUGAGACACGGCCCAGACUCCUACGGGAGGCAGCAGUGGGGAAUUUUGGACAAUGGGCGCAAGCCUGAUCCAGCCAUGCCGCGUGCAGGAUGAAGGCCUUCGGGUUGUAAACUGCUUUUGUUACGGAACGAAAAGACUCUUUCUAAUAAAGAGGUCCAUGACGGUACCGUAAGAAUAAGCACCGGCUAACUACGUGCCAGCAGCCGCGGUAA